CUAAGAUUGUGUUUUAGCAUUAAACAUCGUAUCCUAAUCAAUAUCUUUUUAAGAAAAAACAUAUCAGUGCCAACCGAAUUAAUGUUUGUCUUUAAAAAUGGAUUAGCAUAUGUAGCUAUUACUAGCAUGUUGACUAGGAAGCUAGUUUGCUAGCUAGCCCUGUUUGCGUUGCACAGCGAAAUAGUUCAUGUAACCCUGUUGCAAUUUAUAAACGUGUUCCCAAACCGUCGUAUCCGCUGUUGCAAAUCCUCAUCUCGUUGAACUUGCGAUGUCAUUUCCUGUCCUCUGUCUCACACUGGAUAUUUUUUUCUCCCCCUCAUGUAAUGGAUUGUGAAUGAAAGUAAGCACGAGGUUAAAUAUUUACUACGCACGGCGGCAGUAAAAUAAAGAGACGAAACCUUGAACUUUGACUCGUGCCCAUGAGUUUGAACACGCAAUGAACGACGUGAGAAACUAAAACCCCGCCUCGAAGUUCAGACGCUGCUGGUUCCAAGCAUGAGUUCGGCUCCGUACUCACACGGAGAGAAAAGACAGGCUGAUAAAAGGAGAGAGUUCCGGAAGCGUGACUGGUCCAUAGAGCAACCUCCUCUCUUGCCAGAGGAAGACUCUGAUCCUCAAUCAUCAGGACCCGACGGCGUGCAUGAAGGGCAACGUGUCAAGAGCGAGACCAGUUCCAUUCCAAAAUGACGACAAGGAGGACAAAGCUGGGAUACUGCAUGUGUGAUCUGCUGAGAUUCGACCGCUGAAAAGAUGAUGAACCGUUCGUCCUUAUUCCAGCAACAGAGCAUAUAAACACAGACCUACACACAAUUUAACUGGUAACACCUAAACAACGAGUUCAUUUUAUGAAUUUAAAGGAUUUGCUGUGACAUGUUUUGUUCUUGUUGUUAUUGUUGUUUUUUUUGCAUUUAAAAAAACUCUAUACCUAUAUUUACAGCAUUAAUUCCAAGUGACUGUAAUUCUAUAAUCGUCCACUAGAGGCCACUAGACAGAUAGAGAAAACUGACUUGGGGGGAAAACAUUUCAUAUAAAAAAAAAGAAGAGAGACAGAAAGAUGGAAACAGAUGCUGUCUUUGCAUUUGGUCAUUAUUAUGGCGGUGUGUAUUCACCACAGCACAAAAAUGGCAGAGAUGUUUUUCAGACAAAGACAGAGAACGAUGGAUUCCGACAGUAGUUUACGAUGGGUUCUUUGAAUCGUAUCUUCUUAUACCUAAUUUAUGUACUGAGUUUUUUUUUUUCUUCUUUUGUUCUGUUCUCUGUAAAUAUGGCCUAUUCAGAGAGGCUGAUGCACUCUGUAAAUAAAUGAAUGAAUAAAACCGG